UUCAUGUGGUCAGGAGUGGUCUACUGAUGGAAGAUGCCAAGGAAGGUGACCACAGAGUUACCCAUAUUUUUGCAUCCUUUUGGGAACAAAGGGAAAAUGCUACAAGAAGUGAAUUGGUUGGCUGCCCCACAAAACUGCUGAGUAGUCAGGUUGGAAAUGGAGGAAUUUUCUGGGAGGUGCAAAGGCUGCCCUGAAGACAACCCAUACCUUGAUUGGAUUAUCAGAGAAUAGGAGAAGGUAGAGACAUCUGCUUAGAAGUUUGAAGAGGAGGGAAGCUUGAUCCUGGGUGCUGCGGGACCCUUAGGGUCAGGAAGAGCAGCCACGAUUGCAAGUCGCACACCUGGAAGAGAGUGGAGCUGCAAGGACUGUCGCACUUUAGAUGCGGUAGGACAUAGAGGAUGCCCCGUGGACAGUCAUGAGGACCCUGGUUAGCAGGCACAGCCGCAGCCUGCCCAGAUCGUUGGUGCUUAACCAGUGAUAGUGGACUGGUUUUCGCCAGAGGCCUCAAGGCACAGCAAGCCGAGAUAGCUCAGCUCUGCUUCAGCGGUGGGAGUCUCAGAAGGGGCACCAGGAAUCCCAUGCUUUACUUUCUGCCAGUAUCAAUUCAGGCUCUUGGGACCCUGUCAUUGGUGCCAUGUGAAGAAGGUCAGACUAGCCUGCUAGAUGGUGAGAGACCAGUGGCCCAGGGCUCCUGUUGCCCACGCUCACAGCCAACGUGUGGAAGCAGAGAUGCCUUGCAGACUAGUAGCUAACUGACGUGAUUCAGCCAAGCACAGCAGGAGACCAGCAAAAGAAAGCCCAGCUCAAAUGCCAAUCCAC